UCAGGCCUUGCCAGCGACAAUCACCACCGAUGAGCAGAAAGAACUUCUGGCCCUGUUGUGCAAGGUGCACGAGCUGGAGAUCCAGAAGGUGGAGAUGCAGAGCGAAGCCCUCCUGAAGGAGCACGAGCCGAGGCGCCGAGACCUCCUCCUCCUCCUCCUCCUCCUCCUCCGGUACGACAGACAGAAGAACCUCUCCGACGAAAUCAUCACCAGGCAGCGGCAGAUGAUCGAAGAACUGACUCCGACAAUGCCACCCAAACUUCAGGAGCUUUACUCCCUCUACUAGAUGGAACUGCAGUACACCAGCAACGACAGGGAUGUCAGAUACAUGAAUGAUAUCAACCAGCUCUUAAGAUCGUCGUCCAUGCAGUCGCUGAGGGCACCCUCGUACGAAAGACUUCCUCCCAUCAACAGCCCCAAGUGAUUAUCGCCUCUCUUUCCUCAGUUCUUACGGUUGUAUUUUGAUUGCGUCUGCUGAGGAAUCUUUGA